UGUGCAUGUGUUUACUUUUAACUAAUUCUUUACUGUUCAUCUGUGGAAUUAGAAAAAGCUUAUUUAAUAAACUAAAGCAUUUACAUUUAGAAUAGGGCAAUCAAUAGGUUUGUUCUAGAUGCAAUGAUGCAUG